CUUUACUCUAACUUGGUACUGGCGUAUACGUCUACAUGUGCAGGAUAGGUGGGAGGCUGUGAAGGGAGGGCGUCAGCCCUUCUGGAGCCAUCGUUGAGAUACCACCCUUGUAUUCGUGUACGUCUAACCCCUUAUGGGGGACAGUGCUUGGCGGGGAGUUUAACUGGGGCGGUUGCCUCCUAAAACGUAACGGAGGCGCGCAAAGGUGAGCUAGUACCGGAUGGAAAUCGGUACGAUAGUGUAUUCGCAUAAGCUCGCUUGACUGAGAGACCUACAAGUCGAUCAGAGACGAAAGUCGGCGAAAGUGAUCCGGCACCAACAUGUGGGAGUGGUGUCGCUCAACGGAUAAAAGCUA
rnacentral:rRNA from 1 species